rnacentral:lncRNA from 1 species
UUGAGUUACAUUGGAAGUAGAGUGUGGAUUGAAAUGGCUAUUCUGGUACUACAACAGGAGCGAAAGUGACUCUUUACAGAUAUGGAAAAUGUGGCUGGAAAGCUCUUAAGUGGAGACAACGUGAGACAGUCAUAUAAAAUACUAGAAGUGAGCACUGCUCUUCAGUAUGUGUCUUCAGAAUGUCAUGUUUACAAGAUUGGAAGGUGGGUGAGGUCUGCACUCGAGGCUGGUGGCCCAUUCAACCACAGAUUAUUCCUGUUUGGGUAGCAUGAAGCAACUAGAAGUAUUUCUUUCCCCCUUGGAUGGGAUGCUUAUCCAUCACAGAUUACCCCCUGGCAUUUUUCCAGCUUCCCGUUACAGUUUGCCUGUACCCAUUUAUACUCCAGGGUGUAGAGAGGUAUCUCUGACCCCUUCGAGAAAGAGGUGAUUGAAAAAUAUCAGCCUUUAAGGUAGGGAUGCUGAGAGUUGGUCCCCUAAAAAACAGAGAGAAGUGUGCAAAAACUGUUUUGGAAACUAUACUGUAUUGCUGUACUGAACAGAUCUUGAACUUUGUAUCAGAGAUGGGUGACUAAAAGCUGACCUGCAAUGGAGUCAGCUUCACCCAUAAAGUCUCUUCCUCAGUCUUGAUCAGGGAUGCUAUCAGACUUGGUCCACCAAAAAAGAAAGAGAAGAGUGUGAAAAUUGUUUUGGAAACUGGACUGUCUUGCUGUGCUGAGCAGUUCUCAAACUGUGAACAAGAGACAGGUGACAAAUAGCUGACCUUUAAUGAGUCAGCUUCACCCAUUAAGUCUCUUUCUCAGCGUUGAUCAGUGAUGCCAAGAUUUGGUCUACCAAAAAACAAAGAGAAGAGCGUGAUAUCUGUUUUGGAAACUGGACUGUUUUACUGCGCUGAAUGGAUCUUGACUGUGUACAAGAGAUGGGUGACUAACAGCUGAUCUGUAAUGGAGUUGGCUCGUUUUACCCAUAAAGUUUCUUCGUCAGUCUUGAUCUGGGAUGCUGAGACUGGGUCCACCAAAAAAACAAUGAGAAGAGCAAGAAAACUCUUUUGGAAACUGGACUGUCUUGCUGUGCCAAACAGAUCUUGAACUGUGUACAAGAGGUGGGCAACUAAAAGCUGACUUGCAAUGGAGUCAGCUUCACCCACUGAGUCUCUUCCUCAGUCUUGAUCUGGGAUGCUAAGACUUGGUCCACCAAAAAAGAAAGAGAAGAGUGUGGAAAUUGUUUCAGAAACUGGACUGUCUUGUUGUACUGAGCAGUUUUUUAACUGUUUACAAGAGAUGGGUGACGCACAGCUGACCUUAAAUAGAGUCAGCCUCACACAAAGUCUCGUUCCCAGUCUUUAUCUGGAUACACAUUUUUCCAUCAAAAGACAAAGAGAAAGAUAAAAGAGAGAAAGCUGUUUCAAAAACUGGUUUGUCUGAAGGGAUCUUGAACUGUCUACAAGAGAUGGGUGGCUAAAAGCUGACCCACAAAGGAGUCGGUUUCCCUCACCAAAUCUCCUCCUAAGAUGCAAAGAUUGGGUUCACAAUUAAAAGAUUGAAGUAGUACACACACUUCAGAGCAAGAUAUCUGGUCAUAUGAAAGUCUAGCACAUCGCGUCCCUGUCAGAUUGAAAAAGCUGUACAAAUGGGAAGUUGGUUGAUGCCCUUUAAAGUAGUUGCUCAACCGGAUAUUUUUGGUUAUCUCCAUCUUAUCUUGAAAUUCAAGCAAGAGAGAGUUGGAUCCCAAAGGAUUGGCUUACUUUCAAAUGGAAGGAAAUUUAUAGAGGAAGGUAACAGUUCGCUUCUAGUGUCUUCAUAUUUCCUUAGAUUUGUCAUUUUAUUAUUCCAAUAUCAAGCCAUUUAACCCUCUUGGCGAAUGCGGCAGCAAUGAAAGAUCCAACGUUGACUUUUUUCCUGGCCAAGAAUUUUUAAGCUCAUCCGAAUAUUUGUUGGUCAUUAAGAACAUUCUCAUGGUUUCGUUUGUGUUGUUUUCGUUUUUCGCGCAGGCCUUAUGCGAUCGACACCAUACUCAGAUGAGAACAUAGUAUGUAUUCCGAAAACUCAAAGCCAAAAUGCUAUAAAAUGAAAUAAUAUUGGGAUGGCAGCUCCCUUACUCAAUUGUUUAACUUAUCUCAAGAGGGGAGAUUUUGCUCACCAUUCGAAUUUUCCGUCGCCCAAAACUACUACGCACCUCGCAAAGUGUCUGCGCCUAUUAUAGAAUCGUCAGAUAAGGUGUAUGUGUCCACAGUCCACCUGAAAAAUGUUUCUCUUUCUUUUCGAGGGUGCAGCACCCCUUUUACAAAGGUCUUUCAAAUUCCACGUCUUUUUAUUGAAGAUAAUUUACGACGGGGCACGUAGAACA